UAGUCCACGCCCUAAACGAUGCUAACUCGAUGUUUGUUUAACUAUGAGCAUCCAAGGGAAACCGUUAAGUUAGCCACCUGGGGAGCACGGGCGCAAGCUUAAAACUCAAAUGAAUUGACGGGGGCCCGCACAAGCGGUGGAUUAUGUGGAUUAAUUCGAUGCAACGCGAAAAACCUUACCUGGCCUUGACAUGUACGGAACUUUCCAGAGAUGGAUUGGUGCCUUCGGGAGCCGUAACACAGGUGCUGCAUGGCUGUCGUCAGCUCGUGUCGUGAGAUGUUGGGUUAAGUCCCGCAACGAGCGCAACCCUUGCCAAUAAUUGCCAUCAUUUAGUUGGGCACUUUAUUGGGACUGCCGGUGACAAACCGGAGGAAGGUGGGGAUGACGUCAAGUCCUCAUGGCCCUUAUGGCCAGGGCUUCACACGUAAUACAAUGGUCGGUACAGAGGGCUGCUAACCCGCGAGGGGGUGCUAAUCUCAGAAAGCCGAUCGUAGUCCGGAUUGUUCUCUGUAACUCGAG
rnacentral:rRNA from 1 species